GGUCUGUAGUAUGAUUGGUGGCAUUCCAUGUCAAUAAAUAAGUUUAAUUUUGCAGAUAGCGAAAAUAAGAGAAUGGCGUACAUUGGGUCCAAUACUACCAAAAGAAGAAAAACCUGUGGUCCCUCGAAAACGAAAAGUAUUUAACUUUAAUGAGUGAAGGUGUUAGACCCUCCGGACUUAGGGUCUAGAUUUAUGUUUGUGUUUAAAGAUUUGUGAUAUUUCCGGUUCAAGUGUCUGGUUCCCAUGCCUGUCCAUUAUUGUUCAUGCGCUUGUAAAAUAAAAUUAAGUUAGAGAUUUUCAUGAUUAGAUUUAAAUAGUUUUGAACAGAUCCAGAUAUCAACAAUAUCAGGUGUGUGAUUCCGACUUGUAAAUUUACAUAAAAGAGGGACGAAAGAUACCAAAGGGACAGUCAAACUCAUAAAUCCAAAACAAACUGGCAAUGCCAUGGCUAAAAAUGAAAAAGACAAACAGAAAAACAAUAGUACACGUGACACAACAUAGAAAACUAAAGAAUUAACAACACGAACCCCA
rnacentral:lncRNA from 1 species